rnacentral:rRNA from 1 species
UAGGGAAUCUUCCGCAAUGGACGAAAGUCUGACGGAGCAACGCCGCGUGAGCGAAGAAGGCCUUCGGGUCGUAAAGCUCUGUUGUUAGGGAAGAACAAGUACGAGAGUAACUGCUCGUACCUUGACGGUACCUAACCAGAAAGCCACGGCUAACUACGUGCCAGCAGCCGCGGUAAUACGUAGGUGGCAAGCGUUGUCCGGAAUUAUUGGGCGUAAAGCGCGCGCAGGCGGUCCUUUAAGUCUGAUGUGAAAGCCCACGGCUCAACCGUGGAGGGUCGUUGGAAACUGGGGGACUUGAGUGCAGAAGAGGAGAGUAGAAUUCCACGUGUAGCGGUGAAAUGCGUAGAGAUGUGGAGGAACACCAGUGGCGAAGGCGACUCUCUGGUCUGUAACCGACGCUGAGGCGCGAAAGCGUGGGGAGCAAACAGGAUUAGAUACCCUGGUAGUCCACGCCGUAAACGAUGAGUGCUAAGUGUUAGAGGGUUUCCGCCCUUUAGUGCUGCAG